AAACAUUAGACAUACACAAAGGUCUUAACAGAAAACAUACCUGGGAAUCCUCAAUCUGCGUCGCGCCCUGCUAGAAAAAAAGAAAAGGCGAAAUUAGACAUACACAAAGGUCUUAACAGAAAACAUACCUGGGAAUCCUCAAUCUGCGUCGCGCCCUGCUAGAAAAAAAGAAAAGUCGACAUUAGACAUACACAAAGGUCUUAACAGAAAACAUACCUGGGAAUCCUCAAUCUGCGUCGCGCCCUGCUAGAAAAAAAGAAAAAGGUGCAAUUAGACAUACACAAAGGUCUUAACAGAAAACAUACCUGAAAAUCCUCAAUCUGCAUCCCGCCCUGCUAGAAAAAAAGAAAAGGCGCAAUUAGACAUACACAAAGGUCUUAACAGAAAACAUACCUGGGAAUCCUCAAUCUGCGUCGCGCCCUGCUAGAAAAAAAGAAAAGGCGAAAUUAGACAUACACAAAGGUCUUAACAGAAAACAUACCUGGGAAUCCUCAAUCUGCGUCGCGCCCUGCUAGAAAAAAAGAAAAGGCGAAAUUAGACAUACACAAAGGUCUUAACAGAAAACAUACCUGGGAAUCCUCAAUCUGCGUCGCGCCCUGCUAGAAAAAAAGAAAAGGCGAAAUUAGACAUACACAAAGGUCUUAACAGAAAACAUACCUGAAAAUCCUCAAUCUGCGUCGCGCCUUGCUAGAAAAAAAGAAAAGGC
rnacentral:lncRNA from 1 species